ACGAAAUGCUGCUCCUUCGACUUAUAUUAAUUGCUGUUCUGUGGAUAUCCGUUUCGGUUGGUACACGAGAAUUCGAUGUCAUCACAUUUGAACUGCAACAAUUCUCCGAUAUACCAAUAAAUGGUACAUUGAAAAUGUUUCGCGGCGAACGCAGGGAGAACAAAUUCAAUAUGACAGCCACUAUAACAAGUGACGAUCUCAGUAUCUACGAUGUACAGGCAACACUGUACCGUAGCGCAAUGGGUAACAAUCAAUUUGUGUUGAGCCCAUUUAAAAUACCCCGAAAACCACUUUGCGAUCUUUUCAACAACGAAUACAGGGAUCGGGUAAUGGAUGAUCUGGCCAGUUAUUCAAACUUGCCGUGUGAACAUGAUAAGAAGAUCAAUUAUUGCGAUUUGCUAAAGAAGGUGAGUGAAUAUGUGGGAACGAGUUACCGUAUAAUCGGUAGGGCGAGUAUGUCAAUUAGAUGUCGAACGAUGAUGCUCUUCGUUCUCUCAAACAACGAGGUUAAAUGUAAUUAGUCGUGGGCGAAACGUAGAAAGGACAACACUUGUAUUUCACAUCACUGUGAAUCAAAUAAAUAAUUGUUCAUUUUAUGGAAUCGGUUGGCGUUUUUAUUCAACUAGAACUUCAUCGUUUCCUAUAUGGGGGCUCACCGGCCAGUGAUCAGUAUGGAAUAUAAGUGUUGAAAAGCGGAAAAACAUAAUUACGUUGCGGAAAGUAAAGCCAGACUCAAAAAUUUGUGCAAAGAGUUCAGGUGAAACGGUGUUUUCACGCUGAACAAAAGACGUAAAGAAUUUAGGUGGAAACGUUGCCUCCAUGCUAAAUAAAAAGUAAAGAAGGACGAAUUGAACAGUAAAGUGUUAUAGUACCUGAAAAUUCAUACAACGCAAAGUGAAAAGACGAAAAAAGAUACGAAGGACAAUUUUCGAGAAGGCUUUUGUCACGAGCGCGUGGUUUGUUCAGAGACAAUAGACGCAGCACACACAUCAGUACAGCAGACGAUCGUUCGAGUGUGUUUCAUACAUUGGGUGAGAAGAGCAAUAAACGGAUCGAACGUACAUGCACUGUUAGACAAAUAUUAGGCGUGUCAGCGAAAUGGAAUGCUAAACUGCUACGAAUUGAAAUAAAACCGAGCGAAUUUGGAUCGAAGUCAAGGGUGGUCGAAUCAAUGACGGUCGAAUCAAUGAUGGUCGAAUCAAUGAUGGUCGAAUCAAUGAUGGUCGAAUCAACGAUGGUCGAGUCAAGGAUGGUUGAGUCAAAGAUGGUCGAGUCAAAGAUGGUCGAAUCAAAGAUGGUCGAGUCAAAGAUGGUCGACUCAAAGAUGGUCGAAUCAAUGAUGGUCCGAGUUCAUGAGAGGCAGUAUAUCAAACACAGAGGAUUGCCGAAAGUCCGAAAAGCUGAACAUUUGAGGGCAAAUGUUUUGUUAAGGGGGGUUGUGUGGGAACGAGUUACCGUAUAAUCGGUAGGGCGAGUAUGUCAAUUAGAUGUCGAACGAUGAUGCUCUUCGUUCUCUCAAACAACGAGGUUAAAUGUAAUUAGUCGUGGGCGAAACGUAGAAAGGACAACACUUGUAUUUCACAUCACUGUGAAUCAAAUAAAUAAUUGUUCAUUUUAUGGAAUCGGUUGGCGUUUUUAUUCAACUAGAACUUCAUCGUU